CGGACUGAAGACACCAUGCAAUGUAAAAGAUAAACUGAAGAUGCAUAUAUGGAUUGAGGUAUGUUAUUCACACAUCUCAAACUACUUCUCACACAUCCUUAUUAAUUUAUAUCCGUUGAUCUUCUUUAAUUCAUCCGAUCAGACGGCCGAAAAUUAAAAAGGUGUGUAAGAAGUAAAAUGAGGUGUUUGAAUAUCACACCCCUAUGGAUUUAGCUUCAAUUUCCCCCUCUAUAAUUGGAAAGAAAAGGUAGUGAGGACAUGGUAGGAGAUAAACAAGUGGAAAUGUUUGCAUUUGUAAUGAAGAUCUGGUUCAUAUACAUACAUAUCAACGCAUACCAUAACGAGUAAACAAAAUUUCUAUCACAUAGCUUGCUUGAAUUGAGCACAUUUCGUGCACAGCUUUCCGGUCUAAUAACCGAUUGCCUUCGGCCGCAAGCUGCAACGCACCAACAAAAUACAGAUACAUUCUUCUUUCGCCCGGUAAUUGAGAUACAAUUCAACUGUGCAGAUAAUCAUGGAUUUCUCUCCACUCGGCGUAGCAUUACUGAAAGAACCGCAGUCAGGACCACUUCGCGAUGACAAUUCUUCUAUCUGUCGUUAGGUUUUACUUGAGGAAAUGAUCCAUUAUAUGGCGGAUGACAUCUUCACCUUCUAUAU
rnacentral:lncRNA from 1 species